GCUUUGGCAAAGUUUAGUCUUCCUCAACCUGGUUAUUUGAACCUAGAUGUGCUAUAAAUUGCCCUACAUGCAUGUUUCAAAUAACAGAUGUUAUUUUUCUUUAGGCUUACUUUUAUUAAAAAAAAAAAGACAAUUUAAAACAUUCAAAACAGGAAUUAAAAAAAAAAAAACAAAAUUACCUGGUACAGAUUCAGUUUAAUGGCCCCAAAUUAUUUAUUUAUAUUCUAGAAUAAGAUAGUUGGUCCACUGACCUUUAGUUGAUUUUGUUUUGGUGGUGGGGGGCCAUGCACCCAGUCUGUGGAAUCCUAGUUCCCAGACCAGGGAUUGAAUCUGUGCCCCCUGCAAUGGAAACAGGCCCAACCUCUGGACUGCCAGGGAACUCCCUUCCGCUUAGUUUUCUGCGUGUAUCCAGCAGGGUGCUGUUAAGAACUGUGACACUUGUCCAGAGCACAUGCUGGUGCUGCAAAUGAGAGCUGGCUGGGGACCUGGCACAGGGCUCAUCAGGAGUCUACUAGCUUGAGGUACUGAGGGCUCCUGGAAGCAAACCCAGCCUUGGGGAAGAGGCAACCAGCUCCACAGACUUAAUCCAGUAACAAAGCCUGACUUACCAGUUGGAACAGGGAAUUCUGCAUCUGUCACUCUGUUUUUUCUUGGCUGCUUUCCCAUAAACUCAUAUCCCAUGACAAAUGUUUCCCUAAAUAAAGACUGUUUUCCUAAAAGCUCUCCUGAGAUAUUGGGGCACAGGGAAUAGGACUCGGGGGUCCCAGUGCAAUGAGAUGAUGGUCAGUGGACAUGACAACCUCCAGAGAGGGCAGACAUGAUGCGGAUGAGGGCAUGACAGUGCCCACAGCAGAGGCAGCGAGGUCUGUGGAAACGCUUCAUGGAGGCAUCGUGGGAACUCACAGAGGAGGAUGAGGCACGGGGUGCUCAGCAGAGAGAAAUAUUAAUGAACCCUGUAGGCACACCUGGAGGGCCUCAGGAGUAGCUGGCGAGAGGGGACAUGGAGUAGGGGAGCAGAUGAGGCUAAGAAGCAGCAAAAAACCAGUGACAAGAGGACGAGAUUUUGGUUUGCCCUCCUGGAACUUAUUUCCAAUAAUUACUGGAUUAUUUCCCAAUAAUCUGUUGGGAAAGACAAGAUAGUCAAACCCGAGAAACUAGGAAAUGGUAAGAAGAAGAUGUGUUCAAGCACCACUGUGAUAUUAGUCUGUGUGCCUUCAUCACCGUGGGUUCUGACCUGGCCUUAAAGAGUGAGUGGGAAGUGAGCAGGUAGAGAGCCUUUGAGAAGUGCUGAGAACAGCAGGCAGCUAACAAAGUCUUCUUACAAGUGCGUGGGGCCCUUUUUGUGUGCCUGGAGCAUGCUAGAAAUUGUCUGCGCUGUGUGGUUAAUCCUCACAGUGAGUAAGGAAGGUGUUAUUCCGCAGAACUGAGAAAGGAAGGCUCAGCUAGAUUAAGUGACGGGCCCAAGUUCAGAGUUAGUGAGCGGAGGGCUGACUCAAGGGAGAUCACAGGCUGUCUGUUCCCGAAGGACCUCAGGAGCGGGAAAGUGGUAUUGCAGGUAGGAAGACUUGAGUGCCAAGCCAAGGGGUUUGCGUGCACGUCUGCAGUGAAUCAUUCCUGUGAUCUAUUUUUCUGACUGCAAAACAUCAAACUGUUAAGGAAUUAUAAAUAGCAUGCGAAUCAAUCUGUGGCCUUGCUUCAUGCAGGUUCUUUAAAUCCCAGUAAUGAUUUAACAGGCAAACAUGCCCAGCUCACCUGCCCCGGUGAAGUGCAGUGAUUCUCCUGCUGAGCGGAUGGUGCCAACAUGGAUAUUCUCAUUAGGCCCUGUGUUUCUACAUGUGUGUGGGUUCCUGAAACAGCUCUCCUUUCCUUCCCUUGAUAAAUUCUGAUAAGCUGGCAGUUCAACAUAUCCAGUAUCUACCUCUUACUGUCCUGGAAGCUCAGGAAGGCUUAAGAAGAGACAGAGCACAAUAGAUUCUUGGGCUGAAUUUGACUGGCAGACAUACUUCAUUCGGCUCGAAGAGUAUUUAAAAUACUUUGAGACAAUGUUUAAAAACCGGUGGCCUCAUAUGAGAACCUGGAUUUGGAGUAUGUCUUGUUAAAUAAAAUAAUCAGCCAAUCUGUCCACACUGGGCCACAGUUCCCUGUGGCAGAAUCGUCAGGGUCUGAGCCCUGUGGAUGAGCCAUGCAUUCUCUCACUGAGGUUUGCCAUAUAUCUUCAUGACAGCAAUCUGGGUUUACAACGAUUAUUGAAGAGGAAACGGUAAAAGCCACUAAACUGCAUCUCCACCAGAAUUUGUAUAUUCUUUUAUUUACCCACUUACAAAUACUUGUUAAAACCUGACUCUAUGCUGGAACCUGUUCUAAUAUUGGGGGAAUGAUUUUCAUGGUGGUUCAGAUGGUAAAGAAUCCACCUACAAUGCAGGAGACCGGGAUUCAAUCCCGGGGUGGGAAGAUUCCCUGGAGAAGAGAAUGGCAAACCAUGCUGCGGUCUUGCCUGGAGAAUUCCAUGGACAGAGGAACCUGGAGGGCUACAGUCCACGGGGUCGCAGAGAGUCAGACGUGGCUGAGCAACUAACACUUUCACUUUCACAGUGAAACACACAGACAAGGUUCGAACCUGUGGAGGAACCUACAGUCUAGGAGGAGAAAGAAUUGAGCAAAGCAUGAUUACUGGAAGAAGCCAAAGAUGCCAAACUGUGCUCCACAGAGAACUACAACUGAGCUAUCUGAUGGGGACUUCAGAGAGGAACCCGGGAAGGCGUCCCUCAAGAGCUGGCGUCUGACGUCUGAAGGAAGAGGAGGGGUCAGGUGUGCAGUCAUCAGGGAGACAGGGUUCCAGGCUGAAGACAAGGCAGUGCAGUGGCUCUAAGUCUCGUUCAGGAUUCGAAGGAAGGUCUAUGUGGCCGGAGAGUGUGGACAAGAGGAGGCAGAGAGGCGGGAGGAGCUGUGUAGCCCUUUGUAGCCCAGUGAGAUAGGAUUUCAGUUUCAGUUGGAUGCAACCCCCUGGAGGGUUUUAUGCAGCAGAACAAUGUUACCUGCCUCAAGUAACUACUUCUGAAUGUGUAAGUGUCCACUUCAAAACUGGAAUUACAUCCUGCAUCUAAGAGAGGAAGGAAGGAGAAGAAGGUUGUACGUUUGGUGUGUGGAAGUUGAAGCAGUUUCAACACUUCAGCUAACAGGAGACAAAGAACGAGGCAUCGGACAAAGGGCUCCAUUUAUGACAUUAACAUGGUUAGUUCUGACCCCAAAGAGGAGGCCUGUGGAUGAUGUUUCUCGACUGAGUCCCAGUCUCAUCAGAGGGUGAGAUGGUUGAUUCUGAGCCCUCUCUUCAGAUCUGUGAGACAAAUUCCGAAUCCCGUGCUUGUUCUCUGACUGCAGCGUCACCUAACAUGUGAUAAGAAAUAGUUUGGACUUUUUACUUAGUAAAUUCAGCUUGAAAACUGUUUACAGGACACCUUCAACGAGCAAGGAUUUGGGAAUAUGAAAGGAGUAAUUAAUGUUUCUGCCUUCAAGGAUCUUGUCCCCCUAGUGACAUGAAAUGCAUUUCAAAGGGAAGCUGACUUUUUAGAACGACUUUUAGAUGAUCUGCUGCCUUUGAAUAUCCAGUUCAAGAUUACUUUCAACAAAUAAAAACGGAUCUUAGCUCCUGGACCAGGGAUCAAACCCGUGCCCCCUGCAGUUGAAGUGUGGAUUCUUAACACCUGGACUGCCAGCGAAGUCCCAGGAAUAUUUACAGUUUAAACAGGUACAUUUACCUGCCCUCUCCUUUGCAAAGGUAUCAAAACCUCAACCUAGAAAUAGUUUCAAAGGGGAGACUACCUUGAUCUCUCCCACACUGAUUUUCUCAAAUACAAAUUCCAGCCUCUGAGGCCACAUGGUUGUGCCUUGUGGCUAGGAGGUGGGGGUAGGGGAAAGUUGUCACUUCCAGUUUCAGUAAUGGGAAGCUGGGCCUGCUUCCCACCAUGGUCUAACUGGGGAAUUCCCCAAACAAUAGGGUCUUCUUAAAGAGUCGUACAUGACUGAGCAACUGAACUGAAGUGAAAGUAUGUAUAUACCCAUGUGUUAUUCGCUGAGUCAUGUCCAACUCUUUGCGACCACAUGGACUGUACCCUGCCAAG